CCGGCGACCGGCGGACGGGUGCGUAACGCGUAUGUAACCUACCUUUGACAGGGGGAUAACAUCGAGAAAUUGGUACUAAUACCCCAUAACAUCACCGGAGGCAUCUUCGGUGGUUGAAAACUCAGGUGGUCAGAGAUGGACAUGCGUUGUAUUAGCUAGUUGGUGAGGUAACGGCUCACCAAGGCGACGAUACAUAGGGGGACUGAGAGGUCAACCCCCCACAUUGGUACUGAGACACGGGCCAAACUCCUACGGAAGGCAGCAG
rnacentral:rRNA from 1 species